GCCUGGCCAGCUCAGUUGGCAUAGCAUGUGACUCUUGUUCUCAAGGUUGUGAGUUUGAGUCCCACAUUAGGCA
rnacentral:tRNA from 1 species